rnacentral:rRNA from 1 species
GGUACAGGAUGGGCCCGCAUCUGAUUAGCUAGUUGGUGAGAUAACAGCCCACCAAGGCGACGAUCAGUAGCCGACCUGAGAGGGUGAUCGGCCACAUUGGGACUGAGACACGGCCCAAACUCCUACGGGAGGCAGCAGUGGGGAAUAUUGCACAAUGGGCGAAAGCCUGAUGCAGCAACGCCGCGUGAAGGAUGAAGGGUUUCGGCUCGUAAACUUCUAUCAAUAGGGAAGAAACAAAUGACGGUACCUAAAUAAGAAGCCCCGGCUAACUACGCGCCAGCAGCCGCGGUAAUACGUAGGGGGCAAGCGUUAUCCGGAAUUACUGGGUGUAAAGGGAGCGUAGGCGGCAUGGUAAGCCAGAUGUGAAAGCCUUGGGCUUAACCCGAGGAUUGCAUUUGGAACUAUCAAGCUAGAGUACAGGAGAGGAAAGCGGAAUUCCUAGUGUAGCGGUGAAAUGCGUAGAUAUUAGGAAGAACACCAGUGGCGAAGGCGGCUUUCUGGACUGAAACUGACGCUGAGGCUCGAAAGCGUGGGGAGCAAACAGGAUUAGAUACCCUGGUAGUCCACGCCGUAAACGAUGAGUGCUAGGUGUCGGGGAGGAAUCCUCGGUG